rnacentral:lncRNA from 1 species
UUUGUACUUGUUUGGCUUUACAACUAUUUUGAUCUGAGCGUCACUGAUGAGUCUUAUGUAGACGAAACGCGCGUCUGGCGUAUUAAAUUAUAAUCCUGGUACCUUUGAUAACUAUUUAAACACUGGGUCGAUGCCACUGCUGGUGACGUUUCGUCCCCGAGGGUAUCACCAGCCCAGUAGUCAGCACUUCAGUGUUGACAUGAAUAUCAAUUAUGUGGUCAUUUUUAUAAAUUUUCUGUUA